UCCUUCAAAGAUUCCGUAGGGGAUCCUUAUAAAUAGACACCUCCCCCGGUUCUCGUCCUUUUGUCUUCAGUUCUCACUCAGAGGUCUGAGCAUGUUGUCUCCGAGGUGAAGAGUACAAUGGGAAACAUUAGAUACCACCAUGACCUAUUGGUGUCACACUGUCCGAGCAGAUGGCACAUGAAAGUAGCAGUAAAGGCCUGCCUUUUCUCCCUGAAAGAAUAUAAUGGAUGGUCUGGAUGUGCAGCAAUGCUGACUUACUGGUUAUAGUGGGUCAUGACGUGGCGCCAUGCUGCCAAUGAGAAAUUGGAUACCGCUGAUUGGUGUCCUGUCCUAGCGGAUGUAACCUGGAAGUAGCAGAAUGAUUGCCGCCUUUCCUCCCUGAAAGAAUGCUGUGCAGUGUGCACAGAACGAACGAUAUAGGAUGGUCUGGAUGUGCAGCAGUGCUGACUUACUGGUUAUAGUGGGUCAUGACGGGGCGCCAUGGUAAGUUCUUGUCUCGUUUGGUUACGCACUUGGCUAAAUGUCUUGUUCUCCUAGCAAUCUGCCCCUUGAGGUGUUGCAGUCCGACUGUACGUGUUGAGCCUGUGUCAUGAGGGGCGGAGAGUGACUGGGCUAUGUCUACGCCAAGGACCCAGAACACUGCCAAUGAGAAAUUGGAUACCGCUGAUUGGUGUCCUGUCCUAGAGGAUGUAACCUGGAAGUAGCAGAAUGAUUGCCUCCUUUCCUCCCUGAAAGAAUGCUGUGCAGUGUGCACAGAACGAUAUAGUCUGGAGGUGCAGCAGUGCAGACUGGUCGUAGUGGGGUUGACAUGGAGUCACAAGUCAUUAUCGGAGCGGUGCUGAAGAACGAAUGAAGAUUGUGACCCGUUGAAGAUGCAAGGUGGCAGUAAUGGGUUGUGCCUUUAGUAGAAGAAAGCAGAUUGUUCAGUUGCUGGUCCUAGACUAGGGUGACCUCUGAUUUUAUAUUAUACAUAUGCAGCUGCCACUAUUAUAGCCUUUAGAUGCUGUUUACCACAUCGUGCUCGGUUUAAGUUUGGUAAUCACGCCAAAACCCUUUUGACUCGGUGUGACCAUUGUUUAAUUAACAUUUGUUGAGCCAAUUUCACCAUGUACCUGCCCUGUUUGAUUUGAAUAUAAAUGUAUUGCUUUCAAGAUAAUUCAAAUAAACUCAAGCUGAUCUGUG